GAUCAUGGCUCAGGACGAACGCUGGCGGCGCGCCUAACACAUGCAAGUCGAACGGAGCUAUUUCGAUAGAUCUCUUCGGAGUGACAUUGGCUUAGCUUAGUGGCGAACGGGUGAGUAACACGUGAGGAACCUGCCUUUCAGAGGGGGACAACAGUUGGAAACGACUGCUAAUACCGCAUAAGACCACGAUACGGCAUCGUAUUGAGGUCAAAGGAGCAAUCCG
rnacentral:rRNA from 1 species